UACGGGGGGGGCAAGCGUUGUUCGGAAUUACUGGGCGUAAAGCGCGUGUAGGCGGUUAUCCAAGUCGGGUGUGAAAGCCUUGAGCUCAACUCAAGAAAUGCAUUCGGUACUGGGUGACUAGAGGACCGGAGAGGAUAGUGGAAUUCCCAGUGUAGUGGUGAAAUACGUAGAGAUUGGGAAGAACACCAGUGGCGAAGGCGGCUAUCUGGACGGUUUCUGACGCUAAGACGCGAAAGCGUGGGGAGCAAACAGG
rnacentral:rRNA from 1 species